AUGCCCAUGAAUAGGGUUGACUUCCAGUACCCGAAGCCUACCCCCAAGUUAGUGCCAUCUUGGUUCCAGCACUCAUGGUCUGCUCCUGGGCUCCCGGCAUCCAAAGAUGUUUGUUUGUUCCUGCUUUCUGGAGAUGCUCAGGCCCUUUCAUUUUGUAGAAGGGUAGAUUGGAUGCUCAUGCACCUAUUGUUUUCUUCAGUGGGAGGUGCUCAAGGCUACAGAUGGCCCCUAACCCCCAGCCGGAUGAACCCUUGUGGCUUAAUGUGGCAUUUCAUGGAUGAAGUGCCCCAGCAGCUCUUAGAGGGAGACAGACCUAGACCCUUCUUGAAAUGGAAAUUAGUGUGUCUCUCAGAGAAGCUGAUUCCUACUUCCUGGUCCACCCUGGAGAGUGGGCCUUUCCUCUUGCUUCCUGGUUCCUAUUCCCUCUUCCUGUUCUUCCUGUAA
rnacentral:lncRNA from 1 species